CAGAUUGAACGCUGGCGGCAUGCCUUACACAUGCAAGUCGAACGGCAGCACGGGGGCAACCCUGGUGGCGAGUGGCGAACGGGUGAGUAAUGCAUCGGAACGUGCCCAGUAGUGGGGGAUAACUAGUCGAAAGAUUAGCUAAUACCGCAUACGACCUAUGGGUGAAAGCGGGGGAUUCGCAAGAACCUCGCGCUAUCGGAGCGGCCGAUGUCUGAUUAGCUAGUUGGACGGGGUAAAAGCCCACCAAGGCGACGAUCAGUAGCUGGUCUGAGAGGACGACCAGCCACACUGGGACUGAGACACGGCCCAGACUCCGUACGGGACGGCAGCAGUGGGGAAUUUUGGGAC
rnacentral:rRNA from 1 species